rnacentral:rRNA from 1 species
AGAGUUUGAUCCUGGCUCAGGACGAACGCUGGCGGCGUGCUUAACACAUGCAAGUCGAGCGAGGCCCUCUUUCGGGGGGUGCCCUAGCGGCGAACGGGUGAGUAACACGUGGGCAACCUGCCCUCAGCUUCGGGAUAACUCCAAGAAAUUGGUGCUAAUACCGGAUGUGACCGCUGACCGCAUGGUCUGGUGGUGGAAAGAUUCAUCGGCUGGGGAUGGGCCCGCGGCCUAUCAGCUCGUUGGUGGGGUAAUGGCCUACCAAGGCGACGACGGGUAGCCGGCCUGAGAGGGUGACCGGCCACACUGGGACUGAGACACGGCCCAGACUCCUACGGGAGGCAGCAGUGGGGAAUAUUGCGCAAUGGGCGGAAGCCUGACGCAGCGACGCCGCGUGAGGGAUGACGGCCUUCGGGUUGUAAACCUCUUUCAGUAGGGACGAAGCGGAAGUGACGGUACCUACAGAAGAAGCACCGGCCAACUACGUGCCAGCAGCCGCGGUAAUACGUAGGGUGCAAGCGUUGUCCGGAAUUAUUGGGCGUAAAGAGCUCGUAGGCGGUCUGUCACGUCGGCUGUGAAAACCCGAGGCUCAACCUCGGGCCUGCAGUCGAUACGGGCAAACUGGAGUACUGCAGGGGAGACUGGAAUUCCUGGUGUAGCGGUGAAAUGCGCAGAUAUCAGGAGGAACACCGGUGGCGAAGGCGGGUCUCUGGGCAGUAACUGACGCUGAGGAGCGAAAGCGUGGGGAGCGAACAGGAUUAGAUACCCUAGUAGUCC